rnacentral:misc_RNA from 1 species
UAAUAAGUGUUUUAUGGCACUUUUUAAAUCCAUAUCCACCUUGUGUGCAAUGUCAGUCGGAUUCUUUUCGUCAAUGAAAAGGAUCGACCAAACAUCAACCUUAUUCUAAUUGAACUCUUUGUCUGAAAAAUAUUAUGAAUAAACUAAUUCAAAAUA